CCUACGGGGCGCAGCAGUCGAGAAUCAUUCACAAUGGGGGAAACCCUGAUGGUGCGACGCCGCGUGGGGGAAUGAAGGUCUUCGGAUUGUAAACCCCUGUCAUGUGGGAGCAAAUUAAAAAGAUAGAACAACAAGAGGAAGAGACGGCUAAAUCUGUGCAAGCACCCGCGGUAAUAAAAAGGUCUCAAGCGUUGUUCGGAAUCACUGGGCGUAAGGGGUGCGUAGGCUUUUUCGUAAGUCGUGUGUGAAAGGCGCGGGCUCAACCCGCGGACGGCACAUGAUACUGCGAGACUAGAGUAAUGGAGGGGGAACCGGAAUUCUCGGUGUAGCAGUGAAAUGCGUAGAUAUCGAGAGGAACACUCGUGGCGAAGGCGGGUUCCUGGACAUUAACUGACGCUGAGGCGCGAAAGCGUGGGGAGCAAACAGGAUUAGAUACCCCUGUAGUC
rnacentral:rRNA from 1 species